UUGCUGAUAAUUAGUUGCUUGGUUACAAGGGUUUAUGCUUCAGUUAAAAUUCUUUACACAUCAAACUAGGGUAUCAUUCAUGUGCAGAGGCUACUUUGAACCAAAUUUAAUCACCCACAUACAGAGAUGUGUUUAGGUCAAACUUAACUCACCUUAAUAAUGCUAUUUAAACCAGAGCUCUAACCACCCCUUUGAAUUACUUUUCAUUGAAUUUUCCACAUAACAUGUGAGGCCCUUAUUAAUAAGCUGGUUCCUCUGUCUCGCUAACAAUGAACUUGUUAAUCUGUUUGUUGUUACAGGUGUGUCUAUCUCAACUGUGAAGUCAUAGGAGUUGAAGAAAAAUUCUCUUUCCUCCUAAUAUUGCUGAACCAUUCAAAACCCUUUGGAUGCAGCAAUGAAAAAUCUGCUCAUAGUCUUCAGACUAUGGAGGCUGGAGACACAGCUAUAAAGAAAGCAGUGAACCUGAUAAAGUGUCAACAGCAUCUUCAUGCUAGUUUUGAGGGUAUUAUGGUUAUCCUAACCACCCCUCACCAGAGGAGACUAUGAUUGAACCAUAUCUUGAAGAGUGAGCAGGUGUGUGGCAGGUGGAGAACAAAAUGAGAACUGUCACCAGAAAAAGAAGAGUUCUGGUGCUCACUGGACUUUGUUCAACUCAAGACCAUUCAUGAAUGUCAGAGCCAAGGGACAUUCUGAAGUAGGACAGCCACCCAGGCACAGG
rnacentral:lncRNA from 1 species